AGCUCCCUAGUGCUUACAAUAGGCUGCGUUCUACCACUGACUAAAAGGGAACAGACAAACAUGCCCUGAAUACAACUCAGUCUAGGCCCUGUUUCUGGUCUGUAUUGUAAAUGGGGAGGCAUGG
ensembl:snoRNA